GCCUGGGAGAAGAAGCUGAGCUACCUAGAAGAGGUUUAGCCCAAUGGAGCCACAUGGAAAGGAUACUCUCCAACCUGCCUGCAGGCUAAGUAGAGUGCACCAGAUUUCCACCUUUUCUGAUGGAUUUUGGUGAUGCUCUCUUUGAGUCAUUUCUGCUUCUGGAAGUAAUUCCCAUAGAACUCAUUGGUUUACCAAGUUGAACUUUGGCGGUGUCCAUACUUUGGUCUGUUGUGGGCUUUCUCUCUGGGGUGCUUGAGGAAACUAGAAGAGAAUGUUGGAUCCCCUGGACCUGGAGUUACAGGCAGUUGUGAGGUGCUUGAUGUGUGUGCUGGGAGAGGAACCCGGAUCCUCUGCAAAAGCAGGCCACAAGCUGAUGUAUAAGACUUCAACACAUGAACCUGUGUGGACAUUCUAUAUCCAAAACAUAUCAGAAUGACAAGGCAAUGAUUUCAGAGGUAAAUAUUCUGGCUCAUGGAGAGCUCAGUGAUGCGGUUCUUAAACUGAAGACUCAAAGCAAGAUAAGAGGAGACCAUGUUGCUUCAUAAUAACUAUUUUCUUUAUGUCAAAUGAAAGACUGGGAAAAGCAGAAGGAGAUUUAUUUAAUGUGGCUACUUAGGGAAGAGGAUCCAGUGACCACCCCGCCACCCUAUCAUCUCUGGAGUGCAAGAAAGAUGUUUACACUCGGGAGGCAGAGGCAGAGGCAGAGGCAGCUCUGUGAGUUCGAGACCAGCCUGGUCUACAAGAGCUAGUUCCAGGACAGCCUCCAAAGCCACAGAGAAAC
rnacentral:lncRNA from 1 species